AGGCAUUAUGAUAUUUUAUCGUUUAGUGAAUGUUAUUUUUAUGACUUUCUAGUGCUAUUUUUGAGACAAAAACUUAAAAGGUGCUAUUAUUGACAAUUGCCUAAAGAAAAAUUGGUAACAUGCGAGAGUUCUAAAAAAACAAAGUAUAUAUUACAAAGAUACAUACAUAAGUAAAUACAUCCAUAUAUGUAUAUAUGCCGUCAGGUUCAACCACCGUCCUCCUCCGUCAACCACCGCCUUCCUCCGCCAAAAAAGCUGUGGAGCUUCCCCUGCGUCGUCUUCUUCACUGUCAAGAUCUCUUAUCCACCGCCGUCAAGUUUCUGCUCCGUCACCUACCUUCUCCUUGAAGUAGCCUAAAAAAAAAAACAAAACAAAUCAAUUAGAAAUAGCGGAGGUGAAAGCAGAGAAUAGGAAGACGAAGAGAGGUGGCCUGGUGGGCGGUGGUGAUGGUGAGUAGGUAAAACCGAUGAGAAGGUGAAGCCAUGAGUCGAUUGCAGUGGCGGAGCCACCUUGGCGAGAGGGUGGUCAAUUGACCCAUGUGAAACCUAUAAAUAUUAAGUUUUAUGUUUUUACAAUGUUGUUUCUGUGGUAAAUUGGUCAAAAUAUCUAAGUUUGACCCACAUGUCAUGGGUUCAACUCUCAUAUAUGUUAUUUUUUAUCUAUAAUAAUUGAAUUAUGACCCAUGUGGAACUUUGGUCUAGCUCCGCCACUGGUCGAUUGUUACAGAGAAUGAGUAGAAUGAAAGAAGAAAACUCAGAGGAAGGAGAGAGGAAAAGAGAAAAAAAGGAAGAAGAAAGAAACGCAAAUGAUUGUGUCCAUUAGAUGGAUGUUACAAUCAACGGUUGAAAUAGUUUCAGUCAAUCCAAGUCUUUCUUUAUCGACCAAUCAUAUAUUUAUCUUCUUUUUUGCAUUUUCUUAUCAGCCAAUGGGAAAGCACAUGGGAGUGAGUACACGACAACACAUAAAAAUGUCUCCCUUCUUAUUGUGUUUAUGAUAUUCAGACAGUUGAACCAAAAAAAGAUAUUCAGACACGUUUUAAUUUAAUUUUUUUGUGUGUUUGCAACUAGUAUUUUUAUUUGUAAUUAAAUCAUAAUGUUAAUAUUUGAUAUGGAUAGAUUAUGAAUUGGGGUAUAAGAUUUAGAUUAAGAGAUAGGGUUUAGUUAUAGUGUUUGGGAUUUAUAUUUAAGAUCUGAAAUUAAAUUUUGAAAAUAUUAGAUUUUGAAUUUAAGUUUAAAACUUGAAGUAUACAUGUAUUAAAAGGUUUGAUUUAAAAUUUAAUGUUUGUGAUAAGGUUUGGAAUAUGAAUUUGAGGAUGAAGUUUGAAAAUAAUAAGUGUGUAAAGUGAAUUUUAUAAUAUGGAGUUGUGAAAUUAGAGUUUGGUGUGUUAAAGUGAUAAGGUUUAGAUAUAUGGUAUGAGGUUAAUGUUUUUAAAAAUUGUGUAUGGUAUAAAGAAAUGUUGGAUAUUAGACUUAGGUAACAUAGAUAAAAUUUUAAUUAGAUUUAUUGUUUUGUAGAUAAGUUUAAGUUUAGGGUAUAUGUUUGGGAUUUUUCAUGGCUAAAACGUGGCUAUGGUAGCGACAACAUUUUUUCGUGGCUAGCCCGUGGCUAUUUUUUUUAAAAGCAUGGUUAAACGUGGUUAUUUCGUGGCUUUUUUUAAAUUAGCAACGGUUUUGUAGUGGCACUACUAGACCUGGGAUUUUAAACCAAAUCGAACCGAACUCUCCGAACCGAACCGAACCGAAUCGAACCGAAGUUUGGGAAAUUCGGUUUAGUUUUAGUUAAGAGCAUGAAACCGAUCGGUAAAAUUUAAAAUCAUAAUCGGUUAUCGGUUAAUUCGGUUCGGUUCACUAAAACCGAACGGUUAAUCAAAUUAAAAAAAAAAAAAAAACAAUACCUUUACUCUUCGUCUUAGGCGUCAAAACCUAAUCUUCUUCGUUUCCCCAUCUCAUCCCGUCUUCUUCGUUUCACCAUCUCGUCGUAUUUUUAUCCUUUCACCACCUCAUCCCAUCUUCUUCUUCACCAUCUCAUCUCCCUUUACAUCUAUCUCUGCUUCGUUUUCUUCUCCCAUUUCGUUUUCAUUUCUUGAUUGGUUUUCCUCAUUUGAUUCAUUUCUUCCCUGCUUUAGUUAAUAGGUAUAACUAUUCUCCUUUCACUUUUCUUCUUCUCUGUUUCGCUUGAUAAAAUUAGGUUCUGAUUCAUUCUUCAUCGACAGAGUAACACCGUUACCAAAACUUCGGCAACCAAAACCAUAAACCGAAGCAACCGACUCCGAACCGAACCGAAUCAAUGAUUUAUUCGGUUCAAUUCAGAAGCUUUUCCUCAAUCCGAAAUAACCGAAGAACGGUACUAACCAAACCGAAGUAUCCGUAGAAACCAAAGUCGCAAGCCUAGGCACUACCAUAGCUAUGAAGAAGAUUUGUACUAGUGGAUGAUUUAUAACAUUUCUACGGAAGCAUUUGUUAAAGCAUAGCUACUACAUAUACGUAUACCGUACUGAUUUGAACUGAAACAUGCAUUUUAGGAAAUGAGGGAAAUCACAACUUUUUGCCUCUGCUUUUGGGCAACUCCAG
rnacentral:lncRNA from 1 species